UUUCCGUAGGUGAACCUGCGGAAGGAUCAUUACGCAUAGCGGGUGCGGCGCCCUCGCGGCCCGCCCCGCCCCGACUUGUCGGGACACCCUGUUUUUCUGAGCACCAUUUGUUUCCUCGGCGGGCCCGCCCGCCAGUGAGGACCCCCCUAAAACCUUUGCAAUGAGCAGUCAGUCAGUAAUAAAAAUAAUUUGUCACAACUUUCAACAAUGGAUCUCUUGGCUCUGGCAUCGAUGAAGAACGCAGC
rnacentral:misc_RNA from 1 species